rnacentral:rRNA from 1 species
UAAGGCGGCCACAGCGGCGGGGUUCCUCCCGUACCCAUCCCGAACACGGAAGAUAAGCCCGCCUGCGUUACGGCCAGUACUGGAGUGCGCGAGCCUCUGGGAACUUCGUUUCGCCGCCGACC